UUCCUGGUGGUCUAGUGGUUAGGAUUCGCGCUCACCGCCGCACGGGUUCGAUUCCCGGUCAGGGAA
rnacentral:tRNA from 1 species